rnacentral:rRNA from 1 species
UACGGGGGGGGCAAGCGUUGUUCGGAAUUACUGGGCGUAAAGGGCUCGUAGGUGGCCAACUAAGUCAGACGUGAAAUCCCCGAGCUCAACUCGGGAACUGCGUCCGAUACUGACAGGCUUGAAUCCGGGAGAGGGAUGCGGAAUUCCAGGUGUAGCGGUGAAAUGCGUAGAUAUCUGGAGGAACACCGGUGGCGAAGGCGGCAUCCUGGACCGGCAUUGACGCUGAGGCGCGAAAGCCAGGGGAGCAAAGCGGG